UCAAACUAAUCAAUAUAUAAUCUUGUCAUUUCAACGUCUUUAUAGCAAUAUAACAUAAACGGUGAUAAAACAAAAAACUAUCGGUGGAAUUCUAGAUCCGCAUCAAUAUCUAAUUAAAAAGAGUAAAACAACAUAUCGAAAGGGAGGUGUUUAAAUUUACACAAACUUAAAAAUUUUGUUUUGUUUUUUUCGUUUCCCUGAACAUAGAUAUUUGCCAAAACAUAAUUUUCAAAACUUUUAAAAAACAAAUAUGACCUUUUGUUUUUAUGAAACGGUGCCAACACAUGGUUUAUUUUUUAAUCUAAAUUCUUGAUGGUUUUUGUUUAUUUAUUUUUUAUUUUCGAUGUCAAUACAACGGUUAAUCCAGUGCUUUUCAGUUUUCAUGUACAUACAUGGAAUAGAGAGACAUGAUCCAAAAGCCCAUACCCUAAAGAUGCCAUUGUUUCUGUUUCUUUCUGGGGUUUCAUAAUUUUAUCAUAAUUAACACACCAAAUUCCAAAUAACAAUCAAGGUGAUUCAAUUCAAUCACCACGACCUACAAUCUCAAUCCAAAAUCUUCAAACAAACGAUGUCUCGCCGGAGAGAUGACUACGACUACGACAUGGUGGACCAACAUCAGGAACGAUGACGAUUACAACAGCGGCGGUAUUGAGGAUGUUGCCGAGGAAGAUGAGGAUGGAGAAGAGGAUUAUGAUGAAGAUGAUGAGUGUAUAUUAUAAAAAGACGCCAUUGUUCCUGUUUAGUUUGGUUUCAGAAAUGAAACCCUACAGAGAAGGUGAUGAUGAUUGAUGACGGAAAGGAUUCACACAGUCGGGUGUAUAAAAAUGGCGGUGGAGAUGUUUGAUUGAAUGGGGAAAGGGUGUACCGCUCGGUUUGUAGAGAGAAACUAUGUACUGGUUCGGAUGGGAUGCGUAGCAAAUUAUAUUUUAUUUGGUUGCUUAUUGCAUACUUUUGUAGAGUGCUUUUUGGCGAUCAAGAAUUUUGUCAAUUAUCAAUCGUAUUUCGAAGUUCAUUUAUUUUUUUAAUUAAAGGGAUAUGUCUCUUAAACAAAACAAAAGAGUAUCUGUGUUAAACAAAGAGGCAUGUUUUAAACAAACAGACAUGUGUAUUAAACAAAAGGGUAUGUGUUAAUCAAAUGGAUAUGUGUGUUAAACAAA